GGAGGGAGGCUGAAGCAAUCCGAGUCACCUGUAGCAGAGCUUCCGGCGAUCUCUCUCGGGUCGGGCAAGCGCUGGGAAUUACGCAGGCUGCCCCUCGUCUCUAGGAGCGCAGGUUACAUCCCUUCUGGCGACAGGGAGAUGGUACCGUUAGCCAGCUUACGUCUUUAUCCCCCAUCCACAGCGCUCUCGGGAAGGUAUCGGAAAGCCCUGCCUAGAAGCCCUCCUCUCGCUGCUGCUGCCGCUUCUCCGUCCUUCGGUCAACCGGCCCGCUCCGCCGCUCCCAUCGCCGCGCAAAAGCCCCAGAGCCGCAGCCGGCGACUUCUUCAGACAUCGCUUCCCCGCCAGCGAGAGACGGGCGGGAGUUGCGGCUUCUCUCCUAGGCAGUAGAGAGGCGGGGCGAGGAACCCGGGCGGGGAUGCAUCCCCUCGAGCCGCUGCCCGCUGACUGGAGCGCUCGGCUUGCCCAGCACAGCAGCAGCAAGCCACCGGGCCUGUAGGAGGCGGUGUUAACUAGACUGCUACGCCCACGGCCGGCCCCCUUGUUACCGCUCUCAAGACCCGCCCUCAUAGGGGUACUCCAGACGCCUCCAAGCUCUGGAUGGCCGCCUCUCCUGUCAAUCAUGAGACAGCCAUUUAGUGGGGAGGAGGAAGGCGCUGAGUUGGUGCUGAAGGAGGAGAUGGAGGGGGCACUCCCCGGGAGAAGCAGAGCCGGGGCGGGGGAGAGAGACAGUUGUUGUCACCUGCGGAAGCCGCCUUGGAAGAGCGGCGCCGGCGCCUUUGCGGGGAUCCUCUCUGCCGCGUCGGAUUUGGCCCAGCGAAGGUGGGGGAGGCAGUUGAGAGCUGGGAAAGGAAACCUACUGAAAUGCCGACUGCCUCAAGGUUAUAAAGGACUCUGGGGGCAGAGCUCGGAGUUAAUCUCUCCCUUCACAGCGUCCGGCAAACCGGCCAAGUUGGUGACCGUCGCCACAUUUUGUGGCUAGUGAAUUUCGUGGUUCAGCAUUGCUGCAACAACACAUCCGUCCUUUUGUCUGCGCUGAUCCCCCGCACCAUACAUUUUCAUUGGAUGAAUAUGGCUUGCUCGCAAAGCUAUCCAUUGUCACAAAGGAAACAGCCACCUAAAGGAAGAAACCAGCGGUGAACAACAAAGAACUUCCUGGAAGAAAGGGAAGAAUCAGUGUAAGGGAAGAAUUUCCCCCCCUGUAAUGGGGCAUGCAGCAAAUAAAAUUUUCAAAGACCUGCAUCUGCCAAGGACAAAGAUGAGAUGAUCAAGCUCUUCUAUUACAUAUCUGCCAAUCAUCAGAACCUCUAUGAAAGAUAAAUGCUUACUUUCACAAGACAGUCGAUACAUGCAGCUAGACCACAAAAUACCAGAGGUUAAGUUUUGCAAUAAA